CAGAGGCCCUGGCUGGGAGGGCCUACCCCACAGGGAGGAGUAAGUAGGUCAGCGUCCCACUUAAAGAAGCAGCCUGGCCACAAGCUGGCAAAGCCGCUGUGCUGCGUUGGGGUGACCCUUCCUGGUGCAGACUGUUUGGACUCUCCAAAGCCAGCAGGCUGGAACAGCUCAGUUAUCCAAACAGCAAAGAUGACCGCCUGCCCCUCUCCUCCAGGGCUCCGUCCUGUCUCAGGCAAGCUCCACCCUGGUGCCAGUGGCUGGCUGGAAUUCCACGCCAGGGGGUCUUAUUUUGUGAGGUGCUGUGGAAGUGGGGCCUGCGUACUGAUGCCACUCAGCCCCCUGGAUUCAGCUCCCUUUCUAGGGUGAUGGUCGCCCCAUUGCGUAUAGAGGAAAUGGAGGAAAACUUGGAAGUACCGCCUUCCAUACAAAGUCAAGGAUCGAGACCUUCCUCUCCGCGUUCCAGAAUCCCUCAGGAAAUACGCGCGUGCCUUCGCAUCUAGAGCAAGCGCUGCAAGAAUUCACAGAACGGCCAGAAGUUCCCCAUCCCGCUGGUGGCACUCACUGCGUUAGGCGCUCAGCCUCCAGUCCGGGCCGCUUUGGCUUGAAGACGGCCGUUUUCCUUCCUGAUACCUGCUUCUAGUCUUUCUGCAACUUCUGGAUUCCUGUCAUUCUUAUACCUGCUCUGGGCAGCCUUCCAUUCAUUCUGCGAAUUCCGUGAAGCUUUUCAAUAAAUUGCUUUUCUCCAAUUAGCCUAAAUCUCUUUCAGUUAUUGGCAGCCCAGUGCCCUGACCCAGCCAAGCACUGUAGACAGU
rnacentral:lncRNA from 10 species